CCAGUAGUCAUAUGCUUGUCUCAAAGAUUAAGCCAUGCAUGUCUAAGUGUAAACAAAUUUAUACUGUGAAACUGCGAAUGGCUCAUUAAAUCAGUUAAAGUUUAUUUGAUGGUAAACCCACUACAUGGAUAACCGUAGUAAUUCUAGAGCUAAUACAUGCCUUGAAGCGGUAACUUCGGAAGCCGUGGACUUAUUAGAUCAAGAGCUGACCCUUUUCGGAGGAAUAAGCUGAAUCAUAGUAAUUUCGCUAAUCGCAGUGGUUUUGUGCCGGCGAUGGGUCAUUCAAAUUUCUGCCCUAUCAGCUGUGAUGUUAGUGUAGUGGACUAACAUGGCAUAAACGGGUGACGGAGGAUUAGGGUCUGAUUCCGGAGAGGGAGCCUGAGAAAUGGCUACCACUUCCAAGGAAGGCAGCAGGCGCGUAAAUUACCCAAUCCCGAUACGGGGAGGUAGUGACAAGAAAUAGCAAUACCGGAUCUUUUAAGAUCUGGUAAUUGGAAUGAGUACAAUCUAAAAUCCUUAACUAGGACCCAUUGGAGGGCAAGUCUGGU
rnacentral:rRNA from 1 species